UACGGAGGAUGCAAGCGUUAUCCGGAUUCAUUGGGUUUAAAGGGUGCGUAGGCGGACUAUUAAGUCAGUGGUGAAAUCCUGCAGCUUAACUGCAGAACUGCCAUUGAUACUGAUAGCCUUGAGUUUGGUUAAGGUAGGCGGAAUGUGUAAUGUAGCGGUGAAAUGCUUAGAUAUUACACAGAACACCAAUUGCGUAGGCAGCUUACUGAGCCGACACUGACGCUGAGGCACGAAAGCGUGGGGAUCGAACAGGAUUAGAUACCCUGGUAGUCCACGCCGUAAACGAUGAUUACUCGCUGUUGGCGAUACACUGUCAGCGGCUAAGCAAAAGCAAUAAGUAAUCCACCUGGGGAGUACGGCCGCAAGGUUGAA
rnacentral:rRNA from 1 species